AGCAGCCGCGGUAAUUCCAGCUCCAAUAGCGUAUAUUAAAGUUGUUGCAGUUAAAAAGCUCGUAGUUGAAUUUCGGGAUUAGUAAGUCGGUCGUGCCUCUGGUAUGUACUGGCUUUACUGGUUCCUCCUUCUUGAAGAACUGUAAUGUCAUUAAUUUGGUGUUGCAGGGAAACAGGACUGUUACUUUGAAAAAAUUAGAGUGUUUAAAGCAGGCUAACGCUUGAAUACAUUAGCAUGGAAUAAUGAAAUAGGACGUUUGAUCCUAUUUUGUUGGUUUCUAGGAUUGACGUAAUGAUUAAUAGGGAUAGUUGGGGGCAUUAGUAUUCAAUUGUCAGAGGUGAAAUUCUUGGAUUUAUUGAAGACUAACUACCGCGAAAGCAUUUGCCAAGGAUGUUUUCAUUAAUCAAGAACGAAAGUUAGGGGAUCGAAGACGAUCAGAUACCGUCGUAGUCUUAACCAUAAACUAUGCCGACUAGGGAUCGGAUGAUGUUAAUUUUUUAAUGACUCAUUCGGCGCCUUA
rnacentral:rRNA from 1 species